rnacentral:rRNA from 1 species
UUAGAGUUUGAUCCUGGCUCAGAUUGAACGCUGGCGGCAGGCCUAACACAUGCAAGUCGAGCGGUAGAGAGAAGCUUGCUUCUCUUGAGAGCGGCGGACGGGUGAGUAAUGCCUAGGAAUCUGCCUGGUAGUGGGGGAUAACGUUCGGAAACGGACGCUAAUACCGCAUACGUCCUACGGGAGAAAGCAGGGGACCUUCGGGCCUUGCGCUAUCAGAUGAGCCUAGGUCGGAUUAGCUAGUUGGUGAGGUAAUGGCUCACCAAGGCGACGAUCCGUAACUGGUCUGAGAGGAUGAUCAGUCACACUGGAACUGAGACACGGUCCAGACUCCUACGGGAGGCAGCAGUGGGGAAUAUUGGACAAUGGGCGAAAGCCUGAUCCAGCCAUGCCGCGUGUGUGAAGAAGGUCUUCGGAUUGUAAAGCACUUUAAGUUGGGAGGAAGGGCAGUUACCUAAUACGUGAUUGUUUUGACGUUACCGACAGAAUAAGCACCGGCUAACUCUGUGCCAGCAGCCGCGGUAAUACAGAGGGUGCAAGCGUUAAUCGGAAUUACUGGGCGUAAAGCGCGCGUAGGUGGUUAGUUAAGUUGGAUGUGAAAUCCCCGGGCUCAACCUGGGAACUGCAUUCAAAACUGACUGACUAGAGUAUGGUAGAGGGUGGUGGAAUUUCCUGUGUAGCGGUGAAAUGCGUAGAUAUAGGAAGGAACACCAGUGGCGAAGGCGACCCACCCUGGACUGAUACUGACACUGAGGUGCGAAAGGCGUGGGAGCAACCGA